rnacentral:lncRNA from 11 species
ACACAUACGGCCAACAAACAACAUUGGCGAAACAAAAAAUAAAUAGAUUCAACAUCGUGUCGGCGUCAUAGAGCACGUUGCGACGACGGAGGGCACACGGUAGACGAGCGGGAGCGACAGCAGCCGCUAGCGGCAACAACAGCAGUAAUAGCUACUACCACGACGGCCACUGGCGACAGCGUGAAAUAACAAAACUACCAGCGGCAACAAUCACAACAACAGUAACAACGUUCAUAACGACGACAACGACUGCAGUGCUCCUACUGCCGCCGCCGGUGAUAAUGAUGAUCGAACGCCCAGGGAAGGCGUUAUCGGAAGAAAACUGAUAUAAAAGAUAUUCGUAGCUCGGCUACCUCAUGAGCUCUAUAGAUCCAACAACUUUGGACUUCAGCACUUUGUCUGAUAUCGGGCGUCAUGCGAACACAAUGACAGUUUCCUACACCGAAUUGCCGCGGGCAAUGACAGCAGUGACUGUAUAUUAACUUAAACUAGAGAUCGGUUGUGUUGGCGUCAGGGAGGAAGCCACGGUCCAGACUCCAACCGUACCCUGCUUCAUGGUAGUCUGCUACUCCUGGUACCGUGAUCAUCUCGAUCUCAUCUUAAGCAUUUGCCUUUAUCAUUCACAACACGAUGGCAAGGCUGGAAAAAGACACCAAAUGUGAUUAUUGAUCGAAAAGAAGAAGGGAUCAAGUGGAGGGAUGAAGUGGCGUAGUAGAAAAAAUCAACUAGAAGAAGGGAGAGGAAAUAUUCAUCAAAAAACGACAAUAAAAUUAGACUAGGUCUAAACGGCGGAUACGAGUUGGAGAUAGAACAUAAAUUGCAAACGUGUGUUUUUAUCAGCAAAAAUAUCAGAAGCUCUUUGGACUGGUUUUCUCGAACGGCUCGCCGUCUCGUCGUCUGGUUCAAAACCUAAAAGAAUCGUCCUAUAUGCAGCGAUGUGUUCCUUCUAACGGCAUCGCUGCCGGUCAGUGAUCAUUAUGAAAGCAAGUACGGACGAGAAGCCUCCUAAAUUUGUUGCUCAUAAUACAAACAAUCAAGAUAGUUUUUUUUUCCUUUUGUUAUACAGGAUUCUAUUAAAGCUGUGCCAGACAUGACACAAAUAUUUUAUAUUACACAUGAGAUAACAGCAUGUUCGCGACCAUUUUCCCGUUGUAGCGGCUUGCCUUCUCAAUAUCUUGGUCAAUUUCCCCCUUCAUAUUCCCUCUAACCUCUUUCAUUUCUGUUUUCUUUUUUACACUUCUAGUCUCUUGCCCGUUUUUCCUACUGCUGUCGUCGUCAUCGCCAAUGCUCGGGUCGGUCCCACCUGCAAAAUUUCCGCCAUGUUCUAUUUUUCUAUCGUAUGUAUCUGCGUACUUAUUGUAAUAGUUUAGUUGGCCCGACAGACAGACUUUGGCAGGUUGUUUGACUGACAUCUGUUUGGCCGGUCCAUCCAAUCGAUUUGGCCAAUUUCUGAUUGGAGUCACAGGGUUACGCACCGCCUCGAACACUUCGUACAUAGAUCAAUUUGUACUAACUGAUGUAUGUGGAUUCCAGAUGUACACACGAAACCUAUAUUCCACUCACAGGUGAUCAGACGAUCUUAUUUUUCCAUAUAUUCUAGCCAUAGGUAAGCACAAC